rnacentral:lncRNA from 1 species
UUUUAUUCUGAUUGACCUGGCUUGACUACUUCGACGAACGAAAGGAAAGUUCUUGCUUUUAUUUAUUGUUGGUUUAUAUUACUGUUUCAUUCUGAAAUUGCAUCAAUUAAAUUUUUGUGCUGCUGCUGAUCUAUUUUUAUCUAAACUCACGUAAUUGGAUCCUUUGACCUCGUUAAAUCUCAUUUUAACCUGCUUAUUUUACGUGAUUAGGUUUUGACUAGUAUUUGACUAUUGCUUUAUUAUUUUACAUAUACCAGCAGUACUAGCUUGUUGUAUAUAAUUUUAGUCCCAAAAUUUAAAUUUAAAAAUAAUGAUAAUAAUAAUAAUAAAUAGCUCAAAUUUUCAUUUUUCAUUACUUGCACUUUUUGUUUGUUGAUCUCUCUAUUGCAUGUCAUUAAGUUGCUAUUACAGUGCAAGUAGUUACAUAUUGGUCAUCUUGUCACUUCUAGCUCUGAUACCUUAAACAUGAACCCCUCACAAUUCGAUGCACUCACCCAACAAAUAGCGGCUAUUCAAACUCAAAUGACCGCUACUCUUGAAGAGAGUAAGGCCCUAUCUGUUAGUUUGAAAAAUUUUAAACACAUCC